rnacentral:sRNA from 1 species
GCGGAGGAAAGAAACCAACAGGGAUUGCCCUAGUAACGGCGAGUGAAGCGGCAACAGCUCAAAUUUGAAAUCUGGCGUCUUUGGCGUCCGAGUUGUAAUUUGCAGAGGGCGCUUUGGCAUUGGCAGCGGUCCAAGUUCCUUGGAACAGGACGUCACAGAGGGUGAGAAUCCCGUACGUGGUCGCUAGCCUUUACCGUGUAAAGCCCCUUCGACGAGUCGAGUUGUUUGGGAAUGCAGCUCUAAAUGGGAGGUAAAUUUCUUCUAAAGCUAAAUACUGGCCAGAGACCGAUAGCGCACAAGUAGAGUGAUCGAAAGAUGAAAAGCACUUUGGAAAGAGAGUUAAAAAGCACGUGAAAUUGUUGAAAGGGAAGCGCUUGCAGCCAGACUUGCCUGUAGUUGCUCAUCCGGGUUUUUACCCGGUGCACUCUUCUAUAGGCAGGCCAGCAUCAGUUUGGGCGGUUGGAUAAAGGUCUCUGUCAUGUACCUCUCUUCGGGGAGAACUUAUAGGGGAGACGACAUGCAACCAGCCUGGACUGAGGUCCGCGCAUCUGCUAGGAUGCUGGCGUAAUGGCUGUAAGCGGCCCGUCUUGAAACACGGACCAAGGAGUCUAACAUCUAUGCGAGUGUUUGGGUGUCAAGCCCGAACGCGUAAUGAAAGUGAACGGAGGUGGGAACCUUUCGGGGUGCACCAUCGACCGAUCCUGAUGUCUUCGGAUGGAUUUGAGUAAGAGCAUAGCUGUUGGGACCCGAAAGAUGGUGAACUAUGCUUGAAUAGGGUGAAGCCAGAGGAAACUCUGGUGGAGGCUCGCAGCGGUUCUGACGUGCAAAUCGAUCGUCAAAUUUGGGCAUAGGGGCGAAAGACUAAUCGAACUAUCUAGUAGCUG